ensembl:lncRNA
AGACUGAAUGUAGAUAUUUUAAAUGAUUUCCCCUUACAAAACUUACUAUGGUAACCAUUUUGUAAAUAAUUAAAGGACAACACUUCAAUUCUAGAACUGCACUACAGUAUUUUUGUGAAAACUGUGGUUACUGUGAUAAAUCCUAAGGGGUAAAGGACAAUUAUGUAAUUCUCUUUAACAAAAGUUGUAGCCUACUAUAGUAAUUUGGUGUAAACCGUACAUUUUGUACUUUUUACACCAGACACAUAAACCAUUCAUCGUAUUUUGGUGGGAAAAAAUGUUACAGUUGUAAAUUUUGUAAAGGAUAAAGGACAAUACUUGAAAUUCCUUCAGAGUGUAGAAGGGUGUGCCACGCGCUUUAGAGAAGAACCAGCGCGUGAUCAGACGCUGAGCGAGACAGAGCCUGAACUUUAGCUUUAUUUUAUUCAAAGCCAUUUGUGAUCGAUUGGAAGUGUCGGUGGACUUGUUAUGAACUAAUCUGCAUCCUGGGACAAAAACAAGGACUGAUUAACCUACCUUUGCGUCGGUUGGGUGCAGGUAACGUUACGGGGCAACGUACAGUCAGUUGGGUGUUAUCGCCAAAUAAACCGCGACAGGGAUGUCGUGUCUCUCUGAAGCUGUUUAUUUUGCGAAAAUUACUAGUGUUGGGGGUAAUAUAUUACAAGUAACGCAAGUUACGUAAUCAGAUUACUUUUUCAAGUAACUAGUAAAGUAACGGAUUACUUUUUAAUUUACAAGAGAAUAUCUGAGUUACUUUUUCAAAUAAGUAACGCAAGUUACUUUUUUUUCCAAUUUAUUGAUUGACAGCUCUCCUGUCCCCAUGCUGAGAGAAAUCAGAAGAUGCAACUGAAGUUCAAAAUAAAUAUGAAUAUGCAUUAAUUCAUCUUACUCACACACACAAAAAAAACACAGAUUCAGUAUUCCUCAAAAUUAAUACAAAUAAUGCAACUCAGAAUAUGACGCAAACCUGCAAUAAUUAAAUGUUAAACAACACAAAUAUCCUUUAUGUAUUUAAUCCCAUUCUAUUAACCAAUGUCUUUGCUUUACUUUUUUUUCCAAUUUAUUGAUUGACAGCUCUCCUGUCCCCAUGCAGAGAGAAAUCAGAAGAUGCAACUGAAGUUCAAAAUAAAUAUGAAUAUGCAUUAAUUCAUCUUACUCACACACACAAAAAAACCACAGAUUCAGUAUUCCUCAAAAUGAAUACAAAUAAUGCAACUCAGAAUAUGACGCAAACCUGCAAUAAUUAAAUGUUAAACAACACAAAUAUCCUUUAUGUAUUUAAUCCCAUUCUAUUAACCAAUGUCUUUGCUUCUGACCGUCGAUGAUCCAGUUCAAGCGUACUAAUAAGCACAAAUUACUCUAGACAAACAUUUGUGUGUCUUUGUUUAUUGCUGAAGUGUGUUGAAAUUUCUUCUUCUGCAUUCUACUGUACGGACGUACAUUUACCGUCCCUUCAGCCUGAGGCGUAUUCAUUUCACUUUUGGUGUGAAAAGGCUUUUAUAUUUGCCAAAAAUAGAACUUUUUUAGUUUACAAACAAACAAGCAAGCCCUGUCCAGAUUUAAAAAGUAACGCAAAAGUAACGUAACGCAUUACUUUCCAUAAAAAGUAACUAAGUACCGUAAUUAGUUACUUUUUUAUGGAGUAACGCAAUAUUGUAAUGCACUACUUUUAAAAGUAACUUUCCCCAACACUGAAAAUGACCAACUGUCAUUAUGACUUUACGCUGUCCCACGUAUUAUACUUCGACUGCUUAACAAACAAACAUAGAAAUAAAUAAAAAG